rnacentral:rRNA from 1 species
UGCCAGCAGCCGCGGUAAUACGUAGGGUGCAAGCGUUGUCCGGAAUUAUUGGGCGUAAAGAGCUCGUAGGCGGCUUGUCGCGUCUGCUGUGAAAACCCGGAGCUCAACUCCGGGCCUGCAGUAGGUACGGGCAGGCUAGAGCGCGGCAGGGGAGAUUGGAAUUCCUGGUGUAGCGGUGGAAUGCGCAGAUAUCAGGAGGAACACCGAUGGCGAAGGCAGAUCUCUGGGCCGCUACCGACGCUGAGGAGCGAAAGCAUGGGGAGCGAACAGGAUUAGAUA